UGCUCCCGGCUCCUGCGACUAGGCUCCCUUCCUGACGGUUUAUGGUAUAUGAACUUUCUACCAAGCCUGAAGAUCCGAGAUUGAUUCCCAUAGCACCACACAGUGGAAAGGGGUAACAAACGGUCCUCUGACCUCCACAUGUGCACUGUGACACAAACACAUAUGUAAUACACAAAUGGAAACUGAAAUUUAAAAAGAAGAAGAAGAAGAUUGCUCAUGGCUCUUGCUGCAGACAGUGAUUCCACGCAUCCAACGUCUCUUCUGAAGAUCUGUUCUCUUGUGGAUCUGCGCUCAGGGCCAAACUUAAUCAGUCACGGUCUGUGCAACUAUUACGCCAUCAUUCGACUUUUGAAAGGUUUUCCAUCCAUACAAUGAGGCUUGUGCAAAGCUGCAUAAUGAGAAAGUCCUUUAGCCGUACGCUGACCACACACAAUAAUUAUCAGUUCUCAUAGCCAAGGGCAGGACAAGGCUAAUGAUACACUACUUU